GACGAACGCUGGCGGCGUGCUUAACACAUGCAAGUCGAACGGAAAGGCCCUGCUUUUGUUGGGUGCUCGAGUGGCGAACGGGUGAGUAACACGUGAGUAACCUGCCCUUGACUUUGGGAUAACUUCGGGAAACUGGGGCUAAUACCGGAUAGGAGCUCCUUCUGCAUGGUGUGGUGUGGAAAUUUUACGCGGUUGGGUAUGGACUCGGCGCUUCUCAGUGUGUUGGGGGGGUAGGGGCUUCCCAAGGCUUUGGCGUGUAGGGGGCGUGAGAGUGUGAGGCGCCACAUUGGGACUGAGAUAGGGCCCAGACUUAUGCGGGGGGCAGGAGUGGGGAAUAGUGCACAAUGGGCGGAAGUCAGGUGCAGCAACGGCGCGGGCGGGAUGGGGGUUUUCGGGUUGUAAACCGCUUUCGCCUGUGAAGGAGCGUGAGUGACGGUACUGGGUAAAGAAGCACCGGCUAACUACGUG
rnacentral:rRNA from 1 species